rnacentral:rRNA from 1 species
GUAGGGAAUAUUGGGCAAUGGAGGCAACUCUGACCCAGCCAUGCCGCGUGCAGGAUGACGGCCCUCUGGGUUGUAAACUGCUUUUAUACGGGAAGAAAAAAUACUACGUGUAGUAUACUGACGGUACCGUAAGAAUAAGGAUCGGCUAACUCCGUGCCAGCAGCCGCGGUAAUACGGAGGAUCCAAGCGUUGUCCGGAUGUAUUGGGGUUAAAGGGUGCGUAGGCGGAUCUUUAAGUCAGUGGUGAAAGCCUGCAGCUUAACUGUAGAAUUGCCAUUGAAACUGAAGAUCUUGAAUGUGGUUAAAGUAGGCGGAAUGUAUCAUGUAGCGGUGAAAUGCUUAGAUAUGAUACAGAACACCGAUAGCGAAGGCAGCUUGCUGAACCAUUAUUGACGCUGAGGCACGAAAGCGUGGGGAGCGAACAGGAUUAGAAACCCCAAUGUCC